rnacentral:rRNA from 2 species
GUCUGAUGGAGCAACGCCGCGUGAGUGAAGAAGGGUUUCGGCUCGUAAAACUCUGUUGUUAAAGAAGAACAUAUCUGAGAGUAACUGUUCAGGUAUUGACGGUAUUUAACCAGAAAGCCACGGCUAACUACGUGCCAGCAGCCGCGGUAAUACGUAGGUGGCAAGCGUUGUCCGGAUUUAUUGGGCGUAAAGCGAGCGCAGGCGGUUUUUUAAGUCUGAUGUGAAAGCCUUCGGCUCAACCGAAGAAGUGCAUCGGAAACUGGGAAACUUGAGUGCAGAAGAGGACAGUGGAACUCCAUGUGUAGCGGUGAAAUGCGUAGAUAUAUGGAAGAACACCAGUGGCGAAGGCGGCUGUCUGGUCUGUAACUGACGCUGAGGCUCGAAAGUAUGGGUAGCAAACAGGAUUAGAUACCCUGGUAGUCCAUACCGUAAACGAUGAAUGCUAAGUGUUGGAGGGUUUCCGCCCUUCAGUGCUGCAGCUAACGCAUUAAGCAUUCCGCCUGGGGAGUACGGCCGCAAGGCUGAAACUCAAAGGAAUUGACGGGGGCCCGCACAAGCGGUGGAGCAUGUGGUUUAAUUCGAAGCUACGCGAAGAACCUUACCAGGUCUUGACAUACUAUGCAAAUCUAAGAGAUUAGACGUUCCCUUCGGGGACAUGGAUACAGGUGGUGCAUGGUUGUCGUCAGCUCGUGUCGUGAGAUGUUGGGUUAAGUCCCGCAACGAGCGCAACCCUUAUUAUCAGUUGCCAGCAUUAAGUUGGGCACUCUGGUGAGACUGCCGGUGACAAACCGGAGGAAGGUGGGGAUGACGUCAAAUCAUCAUGCCCCUUAUGACCUGGGCUACACACGUGCUACAAUGGAUGGUACAACGAGUUGCGAACUCGCGAGAGUAAGCUAAUCUCUUAAAGCCAUUCUCAGUUCGGAUUGUAGGCU